rnacentral:piRNA from 1 species
UCUCUACGGGGCCUAGAUCCACGGACUU